rnacentral:rRNA from 1 species
ACCCGCUGAACUUAAGCAUAUCAAUAAGCGGAGGAAAAGAAACCAACAGGGA